rnacentral:lncRNA from 1 species
AGCGGUGGACAUGGGACUACAGCCAGAGCCAUCACCCGACUUCCGUUUUCCUUUCGCUUCUUUCGCCCAUCCUACCUCAAUUUCAGCUUCCUCAUCCCUGCUGGACCUUGAUCCCUUUCCCCGUGCAAGCCGGGCAGUAGUCUCCAUUUCUCGCUCAUCGGCUGAAGUACGGAGCUCGUUCUCGAAGCCAGAACUGAAGUCUCCCGUCGCUCCUU